rnacentral:rRNA from 1 species
UAGGAGCCGGGCGACUCUGGCGGGACGUGCCACUCGACAAGAUGGAGGAAGGUAGGGGAGUGACGUCAAGUCAUCAUGGCCCUUAUGUCCAGGGCGACACACGUGCUACAAUGGCCGGCACAGCGGGAAGCGAGGCAGUGAUGCCGAGCGGAUCCCUUAAAGCCGGUCUCAGUUCGGAUUGAAGUCUGCAACUCGACUUCAUGAAGCUGGAAUCGCUAGUAAUCGCAGAUCAGCCAAGCUGCGGUGAAUACGUUCCCGGGCCUU